CACGCUGUAAACGAUGGAUGCUAGAUGUCGGGGAGUAUUCUUCGGUGUCGUAGUUAACGCGUUAAGCAUCCCGCCUGGGGAGUACGGUCGCAAGGCUGAAACUCAAAGAAAUUGACGGGGGCCCGCACAAGCGGUGGAGCAUGUGGUUUAAUUCGAAGCAACGCGCAGAACCUUACCAACCCUUGACAUCGGGAUCGCGGAUUACAGAGAUGUUUUCCUUCAGUUCGGCUGGAUCCCAGACAGGUGC
rnacentral:rRNA from 1 species